UAGGGAAUCUUCGGCAAUGGGGGGAACCCUGACCGAGCAACGCCGCGUGAGUGAAGAAGGUUUUCGGAUCGUAAAGCUCUGUUGUUAAGGAAGAACGAGUGUGAGAAUGGAAAGUUCAUACUGUGACGGUACUUAACCAGAAAGGGACGGCUAACUACGUGCCAGCAGCCGCGGUAAUACGUAGGUGGCAAGCGUUGUCCGGAUUUACUGGGUGUAAAGGGAGCGUAGGCGGCAGUACAAGUCGGGAGUGAAAACUCGGGGCUCAACCCCGAGACUGCUCUCGAAACUGUACAGCUAGAGUGCAGGAAGGGCAGGCGGAAUUCCAUGUGUAGCGGUGAAAUGCGUAGAUAUAUGGAGGAACACCGGUGGCGAAAGCGGCUCUCUGGUCUGUAACUGACGCUGAGGCUCGAAAGCGUGGGGAGCGAACAGG
rnacentral:rRNA from 1 species